AGAGUUUGAUCCUGGCUCAGGACGAACGCUGGCGGUAUGCUUAACACAUGCAAGUCGAACGAGACGAGAUGGAAUGAUCCUUCGGGAGAAUGAAAUCUUAGAAAGUGGCGAACGGGUGAGUAACGCGUGGGUAACCUGCCCUAUGGAAAGGAAUAGCCUCGGGAAACUGGGAGUAAUGCCUUAUAAUAUACGUUUGUCGCAUGGCAGAUGUAUUAAACGCUCCGGUGCCAUAGGAUGGACCCGCGUCCCAUUAGCUAGUUGGUGAGAUAACAGCCCACCAAGGCGACGAUGGGUAACCGGUCUGAGAGGGCGAGCGGUCACACUGGAACUGAGACACGGUCCAGACUCCUACGGGAGGCAGCAGUGGGGAAUAUUGCGCAAUGGGGGCAACCCUGACGCAGCAAUACCGCGUGAGUGAAGAAGGUUUUCGGAUCGUAAAGCUCUGUUAUUGGGGAAGAAAAAAAGACGGUACCCAAGAAGAAAGUCCCGGCUAACUACGUGCCAGCAGCCGCGGUAAUACGUAGGGGACAAGCGUUGUCCGGAUUUACUGGGCGUAAAGGGCACGCAGGCGGUUUUUUAAGUCAGAUGUGAAAGGUACCGGCUCAACCGGUGACAUGCAUUUGAAACAAUCGUCGACCUGCAGGCAUGCAAGCUUGGCGUAAUCAUGGUCAUAGCUGUUUCCUGUGUGAAAUUGUUAUCCGCUCACAAUUCCACACAACAUACGAGCCGGAAGCAUAAAGUGUAAAGCCUGGGGGUGCCUAAUGAGUGAGCUAACUCACAUUAAUUGCGUUGCGCUCACU
rnacentral:rRNA from 1 species